GCACGGAGCCGGACAGAGAGUCUGAGGGCUGAGAGACACCACGGUCCUCACGGAGUCCAGCAGCAGGAGACAGACUGAAGCUCAGAUGCAGCUGCAGUGUUUCCUCCUGGGACUUUGACUCUGACUGAAGCUGCAGAUGAAAAGCUGAGGAUUUACCUGCUUUUACCUGCUGAGGCUCCGCCCCUCCAGGUGUGUGAUGGGACAGCAGGUCCAGUCUGACGUCCAGCUGAACGCCGACGUUUCCU